rfam:Ictidomys tridecemlineatus contig014711, whole genome shotgun sequence.
GGGAUUGUGGCUCAGCAGUAGAGCACCUGCCUAGCAUGGGCAGGACCUGGGUUCGAUUCUCAGCACCA